AUUGAACGCUGGCGGCAGGCCUAACACAUGCAAGUCGAACGAGUGGCGGACGGGUGAGUAAUGUCUGGGAAUCUGCCUGAUGGAGGGGGAUAACUACUGGAAACGGUAGCUAAUACCGCAUACCAUCAGAUGCGCCCAGAUGGGAUUAGCUUGUUGGUGGGGUAACGGCUCACCAAGGCGAUGACCCCUAGCUGGUCUGAGAGGAUUCCAAGCCACACUGGAACUGAGACACGGUCCAGACUCCAACGGGAGGCAGCAGGGGGGAAUAUUGCACAAUGGGCGCAAGCCUGAUGCAGCCAUGCCGCGUGUAUGAAGAAGGCCUUCGGGUUGUAAAGUACUUUCAGCGGGGAGGCGUUACCCGCAGAAGAAGCACCGGCUAACUCCGUGCCAGCCGCCGCGGUAAUUC
rnacentral:rRNA from 1 species